rnacentral:rRNA from 1 species
GACGAACGCUGGCGGCGUGCCUAAUACAUGCAAGUUGAGCGAUGAAGCUUGGUGCUUGCACCAAUUUGAAGAGCAGCGAACGGGUGAGUAACGCGUGGGGAAUCUGCCUUUGAGCGGGGGACAACAUUUGGAAACGAAUGCUAAUACCGCAUAAUAACUUUAAACAUAAGUUUUAAGUUUGAAAGAUGCAAUUGCAUCACUCAAAGAUGAUCCCGCGUUGUAUUAGCUAGUUGGUGAGGUAAAGGCUCACCAAGGCGAUGAUACAUAGCCGACCUGAGAGGGUGAUCGGCCACAUUGGGACUGGGAAACGGCCCAAACCCCUACGGGAGGGAGCAGUAGGGAAUCUUCGGCAAUGGACGGAAGUCUGACCGAGCAACGCCGCGUGAGUGAAGAAGGUUUUCGGAUCGUAAAACUCUGUUGGUAGAGAAGAACGUUGGUGAGAGUGGAAAGCUCAUCAAGUGACGGUAACUACCCAGAAAGGGACGGCUAACUACGUG